AGAUAAACCCACAUCACUGGUUUUCAUCUCCCUUAAGGGUGGGAGGGGUGGAGGUGGAGCCAGGGACAGCAGCCAGGAAUCUUGGGAGCUAUGACAGGCCCGUCCCUAACUCUGGCCUCCUUGCUGAGUAAACCACUGACCUCACCCCUCCGUGCCUGGGGUUCCUUCCAAGUCCUCCUCAGAGUACAUCAUCUGAGCCCAGAAGCCUCAGACUCACUCCCUAGCAAGGACAGAGGCAAGAGAGAAGCUGCAGGGCUCCAGCACAGCACCCCCACACACACACACACACACACACCCGCCCAACACCAGCACUACUGCCUGCUGAGAGCCCUGUGGCUCUGAACCUGGAAGAGUGACAAUAGAAGGAGCUGCCCAAGCUUCACAGAAGCUGUCAGCCUCUGAACUCCCAGAGGAGCAAGCCCAGGACAGGGCAGCCUCAGCUCCUGCCACUGAGGCUCCAAACCCAGCAGAGUGCCACAAAGGAACCCAAAGACAAGGAAGACCACAGGGCCAGGAAGAAGCUCAGACAGGGUGGGGGGGAGAGGAGUAAUCCUUACUGAGCAUCUACUAGGAGCCUGGCCUCACAACCUCAUCUUACAGGUCCACAGGGAGAGGACCAAUCACCUCCUGUAACCAUCUCUUGUUCCACCUGUCCCCAACGUCCUGCUUCUAAAGCAGUCUCCGGAGCACCUCUUGCAACCCAGAAAGCUGCCAGAUCCCAGCGGCAUGAUGCAGGAUGGGGCUGCCCCAAGCACUGACCUCUGACCUGCUGCCAAGCAGCCUUCUUACUGCAUGACAAGGAAGAGCCUGGGCCACUAUUUUGAGGGGACAGACAGACCAGUGGCUCCACAGCCUCCACCAGAAACUGGCAAAGGCAGCAUGAGAAUCAUCAGGAGACAGAUGCUCGGGACUUCACUGAACUCACUAAACAGCCAACUGAGGGACAGGCAGACAGCUGGCCUAGACUCUGCAACCCAGUCAACCUAGAUCCUUCAAGAUUUUUUUUCUUUCUUUUUUUUUUUUUUAAGAUUUUAUUUCUUUAGUUGAGAGAGAGAGAGAAAGCAAGUGGGGGGAGGGGUGAAGGGAGAGGGAGUAAAUCUCAAGCACUCUGCACUAAGUGCGGAGCCCCACUUGGGGUCCAAUCCCAUAACCCUUAGAUCACAACCUGAGCUGAAACCAAGAAUUGGACACCUAACCGACUGAGCCAUCCAGGUGCCUGUAGGUCUUCCUUUAAUAGAUACCCACACGUCUCACCCAGGCACUUACUCUUCCCAGCAAAAAUGUGGCAGGCUCUGGCUUCCUUUCUCUGUAAAUGCUGUUCCCACCUCCCACCAGGGGCAAGAGGGUGUGGAGUGCACUAGCACACCAGGGAAACACAAGCUCCAGUCAAGAGGCGAGAGGCAUCCUCACACUGGUUCUCACACUAGCUCUUAGGUGGGAGGGGGACAACUAGCCCUCCUCGGCUAACCUUCAUAAACUACUGACACUUGCAACUGAUUUACUUUUAGUUUUAGAAAAUAAGCUGAAGUGGGAUCCCUGGG